rnacentral:lncRNA from 1 species
UACAAUCCGGCCCAACCAUAACCUCAGUAUGGGAAGCAGGAAUUUCAUACAAUCCGGCCCAACCAUAACCCAACCGGGCUGAUAAUUAUACACGAUUAUGACCACCAUGUGCACAAUAAAGCAUAACUACAUUCCCAACCUGUAAUCAUCCAUGGUCCACAAGGUGCUUAUCUGGACCUAUAUAGAUUAUAUACAACUGCAGAUCAGAAGUCAAGCGCCGGUUCAAUCGCUCUGAAUUAUACAGGCAUAUGAAAAAUCAAGUCUCAAGCAGUGCUCCUGAUAUACACCUCAUCUACAUCUGUCGAGUCACAUGAUUAAGCACAUGAGCCCAUGCAUCAGCUGCAUCUACCUAGCAUCUUCAGGUCCUAAUCCAGGCUCCAGCAAAAUCCAAAUCCCUGCAUUUUUUUGUAACAUGCCAAAAUUAUUCAAUAGUCAACAACAACAAACUAUUAUGUUCCACACAUAGCGAUGUGUGAAAGUAUUACAUAUUUUGAAACCAGGAUGUAAAUUUUUAUUAUUUAAAACGACAGUAAAGCCUCGAUGAUUUUCAAAAGAAAUGCUACGGACAGCAAGGGCUUGCACCACUCUUUGUUUUGAAGUUUUUACUGCUUGUGAGUUUUCACUACAUCUUUCUAGUGAGGGUUAUCUCACCUAGCUGCACACAUCUAUGCUGUUUCGUCUUCAUCAUGUCGACUUCUCAAACCUGCAACAAGCUUGCAUGUCUUCAAGAAAGCAUCCAGCAACUGCAUAGGAAGCACCCAUGUUAAAACUGAGCUGUUCUCACUGUUGAACAUAUCAUCGCAAGAAGCAUGGAUGCAACUCUUGCCAACUGUAACAAAGACAACUUCUAUGAGUGCCAAAACGUUCAACAUGCUGUCAAAAGGUGCACCCAGGCAGAUAAGAACAAGAGAGUGAAUUUUCAGCUCCCGGGUGUCUNNNNN